rnacentral:rRNA from 1 species
UUUAAUGGAGAGUUUGAUCCUGGCUCAGGACGAACGCUGGCGGCGUGCCUAAUACAUGCAAGUCGAGCGGACCCUUCGGGGUUAGCGGCGGACGGGUGAGUAACACGUAGGCAACCUGCCUGUAAGACUGGGAUAACUACCGGAAACGGUAGCUAAGACCGGAUAAGUGAUUCUCUCGCAUGAGAGGAUCAAGAAACACGGGGCAACCUGUGA